GCGCCCCAGGUUACCUUGUAUUUCAUGCUCCAUCUGAGCCAGUGCUUUCCUUGAUGCUUCCCCUGACCUCCAGCACAUCUGGUCAGCUUAGUCACCAGUCUGACCGUGUGCCAGGCCCUGUGCUACAUCCUGGAGAUCUAGAAAUGAACAGGGACUCCCUCUGCCCUGGGGAAGCUGGCUGCCCGGGUGGGAGGAGAGGCUCAGAGACUAACACGGGAUGCUUGUGCCAAGGCAGAAUGUGCCGGGGGCCUUGGAGUUCACAGAGGGAACCUCUCAUCUUUUGUAGGAGAGCGAUUAGCAGCUCUGGAACUCAGACGGCCAGGGUUUUGCUCCAGACCAGUCAAAUAUAGAGGGUCUGAUAUUUGGGGGGGGAAAUGAUUUUAGAUUUUGUAAGUAAAAAAUGUUGCUACAUUUACCUGAUGAUAGGACAUUCCUUCUAUGUGGCAGGAUGCCUGAUAAGAAGAGCAAUGAUUUAAAAUAGGAAGCUUCCAGAUACAUAUUUAAUGAUAUCUUCCUCCCCACUUCCUCCCUCGCCGUAUCGGGGAAAAACCAAGUCGAUCUUUGUCCUUGGCGUGGGCGUUACGAUUGCCAGUGACAGUUCGGCCCCUCCAGAUACACCUCCCCUGUAAGAGUCCUCAGCUCUUACAUUGUGUCAACGUCCCAUCUCCCAACCAGAUUGUGUGGCUGUACUUGGAAGAAGAGAGGAUCUAUUUCAAUCAGGAAGUUACUCUUGCUGCCCAAAGAAGCAGAAUAGUCCCCUCCCACGCUCACUUACUGCUGAAGGGAGGAUGGUCACGCAGCAUCGUGUGGGCAGUGCAAUCACAGAGCGCCCAGGCGGGAGAGCUGAGCUGCACCGACGCGCCCAGAAGGGGGCCACUGCCCCUCAUCCAUGAGAGCUGGUAUCCUGAGAACAAUAGCCCUGAGUGCACCGACCUCUGAGGAACGCUGUUGCGAAAGAAUCAGUGUUCAGGCGAACGCUGCGCAGUUACAGAGAAUGGGACAAUCUGCAAAAAGCAACAAAGAACGGGAGACCGUGCCAAUUUUUUUGUAUGGUGGAAACAGCAUGGGGGCCCCCAGAGAAGGUCCAAUGUCUGCAAAAGACAGAACAGAUUCCACUUUAGUCAAGGAAAGAGCUGGAAUAUCUCGGUAGCCAAUCCUGACCAUAGGUUUCUUACCAGCUGCUAUGGUUGUUAAUUACACCUGAGAGGCAGCGUAAUAUACGGGCAAUGAGCACUGCCAUCUUCUAGCUGUGCACCCUCAGGCAAGUUUCUUAACCUUGCUGGGACUUAGUUUCCUCAUGUAUAAAAUGGAGAUAAUUGUUUCUACCCCAUAAAAUUGUAAAGAUUAAAUAAGCCCUUAGAAGAGGGCCUGGCACACAGUGGAUGCUAAGUAUUAGCCAGUGAUGAUAAUAAAAAUAUUUUCUGCAUCAUUAAUUACGUUGGCCUUUCAUUCUAAGCCUGGAAGGGUUCCAACAUUUAAAACAUCAAUUCUUUGUCCUUUUC